UACGGAGGGUGCAAGCGUUAUCCGGAUUCACUGGGUUUAAAGGGUGCGUAGGUGGGUUGGUAAGUCAGUGGUGAAAUCUCCGAGCUUAACUUGGAAACUGCCAUUGAUACUAUCAGUCUUGAAUACCGUGGAGGUCAGCGGAAUAUGUCAUGUAGCGGUGAAAUGCUUAGAUAUGACAUAGAACACCAAUUGCGAAGGCAGCUGACUACGCGAGUAUUGACACUGAUGCACGAAAGCGUGGGGAGCAAACAGG
rnacentral:rRNA from 1 species